rnacentral:rRNA from 1 species
AUGCUCCAGAUCAUGGGCAACGCCAUCCCCGGUGAGGGAUUCUUCUACUUGCCUUUCGUGGAGACGGAGGGCGAGGAGGUUCGCGCCCCGCUGGUGGCGGACGCUGCGGUCAUCUCGGCGGCGCCCGGAAAGCCGUCGGACCCCAUCUUGGAGGCGGAGCUCCCCCACCUCUUCGAGGGGGAGUGGGACUGGCAGGUGACGGCCAUCGGUGACAACAUGUUCUCGGUCGUUUUCCCCAACAAGGCCAUGCUGCGGAUGGCGACUCGCAGCGGCAAGCUGUACCUCUCCCUCAACGACAUCAUGGCGGAAAUCAAGGAAUCUCUCCCGGAGGAGCCCAAGGCCGAGAUCAUGCCAGAUGUGUGGGUCAAGCUGUGGGGUGUGCCGCCCAAGCACCGCCGCGUGGAUCGCCUCAUGGCCGGGACCGUGAUGAUUGGGCGCCCUAUGGAGGUGGACAAGGCGUCGCUAGUGGGGCUCGGUCCGGUGCGGAUGCGGUUCGCGUGUCGCUCCCCGGUUAAGCUUCGGGGGUAUGUCCAAUUGUGGUUCAACAGUGAGGGUUUCACCAUUCAGUUGGAGGCCGAGGUGGACGAUCUGCAGGGUGUUGCGCCCCCUCCCCCUCCCCCUGCUAGCUUGGACAAGGGACCGGAUGGUAAGGAUAAGGAUCGUGACACGAGCAUGGGUGAUGACUCAAUCGAUACAGCGACUUGGGACAAGCUGGGUAUCAAGGACAAGGAUUUCGAGGCCGCGGCUCCAGCUGCGGGGGCUGCGAAGGACCAGGAGGAGCGUCAAGUGGUAGUGGGUAGCAACGAAACGUACUUCAACCAGUAUGGCUCCAACAUGUCGCUCGGCCUCGACAUCGACAAGGGAGUCUCGGCUUCCCGUGACUCGGAGGGACGCUCGAUGCUCGUCUCCCCGGUGGUUGCAGAGGUGGGUGGGGUGCGUGCAUUCGCGACGCGCUCAACCAUGCCUGCGAUUGGCCUCGAUGGCGGUGGGACGCGGCUCCACAAGAAGACGGCGGGACGCAAGACUCCCCCGGUGGCGCCGGCGAGCCCUCCAUCGGUCCGUGCGGGCACGCCUGCCUCGCACCGGCCGGUGGUGAUGGCGCUGGCCUCUCCUGGGGGUCUGGCUGGCGGUACCUCGACGACCGUCCCCCCUCCUUCCUCUGAUGCGCUUCGGGCAGAGGUGACCAAGACGGUGCCCAUAUCCACAACCAAGACAUCCAAGGCGGUGGUGGCGACUCCGGCGUCGCAGGAGAGGGCAAGCUCGCGCUCUAAAGGCGCCAAGGGCAACCUUCCAGCACUUCUCUCUCAUUCGCUCGAAGGAAAUCGCGCAGGCCGCGCUCGCCCAGGCAGCGGCGGCCCGCGUUGCGCCAGCAGCAGAUGA